UCCAGGCAAAUACUCCAAGGACCAAGAUGAUGUAAUAUUUCGUCGGUACAAAGCCAAGUGUGAGCAGCUGCUUCUAACUAACAGCAGGCAAAUACUUGAAGGACUAAGAGAAAGUGAUAUUCCCUCAGUCCAAAGCCAAGUGUGACCAGCUGCUUCUAACAAACAGAAGGUAUUUUACCGCUGUCAGAGCAGAGAACAUCCUUCCCACAGGCACAGAGCAGAUUGAGUCAGACAUACAUUGAAGUCAAUUUCCAGCGAGAUAUGCUCAAACAACA